AGGUCUAGAGAGGGGUACCCACGGUGGAGGGAGGUGGGAGGCCGAGACGGCCCCGGGGGUCGGCGGAGACCCAGCGGGAGCAGGGGGAAAUCGGAAGAGCUGGGGGCAUGGAGCGGGCGAGUUUGGAGCGGAAUGAGCCGGGAGCCCUACGUUGUGGAAGGAAGACAACAGUAUAGGACCAUCAGCAGGACCGGACAGAGAGGGGCACCCCUGGCUGUCCUGGAACUUGUAGACCAGGCUGGCCUUGAACUCAGAAAUCCGCCUGCCUCUGACUCCCGAGUGCUGAGAUUAAAGGUGUGCACCACCACACCCGACAAGGAAGCCUGUUUUAAGAAGUGAUUCCAUGGAGGAGUUCUGCGGCGGCUCAGGGCUUGACUAAACAGUGGACCUCAGACAAGAGAGGCUAAACCAGGCUGCAGGUGACAGGAAGAAUUGAAUAAACUGAAAGCAAAGGGCAGCCUUCUAAUUACGCUUCGUGGCUAUGUGGACAACCUGGAGAAGUCUGGAAACACCCGAGGGUGAAGGAUGAGGAGGAUGGAAGAAAAUGGGAGUGGCGCUUGCUGCAAAGGGUCUCGAAGGGUCUCAGCACCUGCGAACUGGCUCCAAUCCAAACUCCACUAUUCAUGGUCAAGUUCACAUAGGGCUUGGGGUUCUAACAAGAUGUGACUAAACUUACGUUUUCUAUCUUAUUGAUUGUUGUUGAUGCACGUCUGGUGGUACAUGCUUGAAGAACACAGACACCCUGAGAAGAAAGACAUAGCUCCCCAGAUUCCAGCACGCACUUCUCUGUGAGCUACCACUGUAGCUGAAGAUACAGGGCUCAGGAGGAACACUUGGCCUUCGCUCUGAACUUCAGGCCCACGUAACCAUCAGCCGACAUGACACUGCAAAGGCACCUUAGCUCUGCUGUCCCAGAUGGCCAAGCCAACCUUAUUCCAGAAGCUACUUCUCCUGAUGUAAGAACCAGACACAAAGGACAACCUCUGCCUCACCCUCCUUCACACAACACUGAGUCUGUCAUCUUUGAAGCAUUUCUCAAGCCAUGUUUAUUCCCCUGGCCUACGUGGAACACAGCCAGGUUUGGCGGACUCCAACUCUUGGGAUAGCUUUUUUUCUGGCCCCAAACUCACCUGAUUCGUCUGUCCACUGCCACACUGAAGAAUGAACAGCUGUCUCAGAGAGCUUGGCUCCAGAGCUCUGCAAAAAGAGGACACCUUGCCUUGAGCUGUGUUUCCAGAAUGUAUUGCAGCCCCCAGAGUCAUGUACUGUGACCAGGUGAGGACAUGCAUCUUCUGUUCUCCUGCACCCAGGGCCCCAGCAACCAAGGAUCUGGGGACAUGGCGGGUGUUUGGCAGGUUCGCACUCUGAAAAUAUUUGAUGAGACUCAGUAUAUGCUAAAUAAACACUGGAUCAAG
rnacentral:lncRNA from 1 species